GACCCUAACCCUACCCUACGUAAACACAGAUCCUAACCCUACCCUACGUAAAACACAGACCCUAACCCUACCUACGUUAAACACAGACCCUACGUAACACACAGACCCUACCCUAUGUAAAACACAGACCGUACGUAAAUCACAGACCCUACCCUACCCUACGAAAAACACAGACCCUAACCCUACCCUAGGUAAAACACAGACCCUACCCUAGGUAAAACACAGACCCUAACCCUACCCUACGUAAAACACAGACCCUAACCCUACCCUACGUGAAACACAGACCCUAACCCUACCCUACGUGAAACACAGACCCUAACCCUACCCUACGUAAAACACAGACCCUAACCCUACCCUACGUAAAACACAGACCCUAACCCUACCCUACGUAAAACAGACCCUAACCCUACCCUACGUUAAACACAGACCCUAACCCUACCCUAGGUAAAACACAGACCCUAACCCUACCCUACGUAAAACACAGACCCUAACCCUACCCUACGUUAAACACAGACCCUACGUAACACACAGACCCUACCCUACCCUACGUAAAACACAGACCCUACCCUAGGUAAAACACAGACCCUAACCCUACCCUACGUAAAACACAGACCCUAACCCUACCCUACGUUAAACACAGACCCUACGUAACACACAGACCCUACCCUACCCUACGUAAAACACAGACCCUACGUAAAUCACAGACCCUACCCUACCCUACGUAAAACACAGACCCUACCCUAGGUAAAACACAGACCCUAACCCUACCCUAGGUAAAACACAGACCCUACCCUACGUAAAACACAGACCCUAACCCUACCCUACGUAAAACACAGACCCUAACCCUACCCUACGUUAAACACAGACCCUACGUAACACACAGACCCUACCCUACCCUACGUAAAUCACAGACCCUACGUAAAUCACAGACCCUACCCUACCCUACGUAAAUCACAGACCCUAACACCAGCCUACGUAAAGCACAGACCCUAACACCAGCCUACGUAAAACACAGACCCUAACACCAGCCUACGUAAAACACAGACCCUAACACCAGCCUACGUAAAACACAGACCCUAACACCAGCCUACGUAAAACACAGACCCUAACACCAGCCUACGUAAAACACAGACCCUAACCCUACCCUACGUAAAACACAGACCCUAACUCUACCCUACGUAAAACACAGACCCUAACCCUACCCUACGUAAAACACAGAUCCUAACCCUACCCUACGUAAAACACAGACCCUAACCCUACCCUACGUUAAACACAGACCCUACGUAACACACAGACCCUACCCUAUGUAAAACACAGACCGUACGUAAAUCACAGACCCUACCCUACCCUACGUAAAACACAGACCCUAACCCUACCCUAGGUAAAACACAGACCCUACCCUAGGUAAAACACAGACCCUAACUCUACCCUAGGUAAAACACAGACCCUAACCCUACCCUAGGUAAAACACAGACCCUAACCCUACCCUACGUAAAACACAGACCCUAACCCUACCCUACGUGAAACACAGACCCUAACCCUACCCUACGUGAAACACAGACCCUAACCCUACCCUACGUAAAACACAGACCCUAACCCUACCCUACGUAAAACACAGACCCUAACCCUACCCUACGUAAAACAGACCCUAACCCUACCCUACGUUAAACACAGACCCUAACCCUACCCUAGGUAAAACACAGACCCUAACCCUACCCUACGUAAAACACAGACCCUAACCCUACCCUACGUUAAACACAGACCCUACGUAACACACAGACCCUACCCUACCCUACGUAAAACACAGACCCUACGUAAAUCACAGACCCUACCCUACCCUACGUAAAACACAGACCCUAACCCUACCCUAGGUAAAACACAGACCCUACCCUAGGUAAAACACAGACCCUAACCCUACCCUACGUAAAACACAGACCCUAACCCUACCCUACGUUAAACACAGACCCUACGUAACACACAGACCCUACCCUACCCUACGUAAACACAGACCCUACGUAAAUCACAGACCCUACCCUACCCUACGUAAAACACAGACCCUACCCUAGGUAAAACACAGACCCUAACCCUACCCUAGGUAAAACACAGACCCUAACCCUACCCUACGUAAAACACAGACCCUAACCCUACCCUACGUUAAACACAGACCCUAACCCUACCCUACGUAAAACACAGACUCUACCCUGCGUAAAACACAGACCCUACGUAAAUCACAGACCCUAACACCAGCCUACGUAAAGCACAGACCCUAACACCAGCCUAUGUAAAACACAGACCCUAACCCUACCCUACGUAAAAACACAGACCCUAACCCUACCCUACGUAAAACACAGACCCUAACCCUACCCUACGUAAAACACAGACCCUAACCCUACCCUAGGUAAAACACAGACCCUAACCUACGUUAAACACAGACCCUAACCCUAACGCUACGUAAAAACACAGACCCUAACACCACCCAACGUAAAACAGAGCCAACCCUAGGUAAAACACAGACCCUAACCCUACCCUACGUAAAACACAGAUCCUAACCCUACCCUACGUAAAACACAGACCCUAACCCACCCUACGUUAAACACAGACCCUACGUAAAUCACAGACCCUACC